CACAGCAUUAUACCAUAUGUAAAAAGCUUGCAAUAUAGUAAUAGCUAAAGAGCUAAGAGCACGGGCGAACAUGCGGCGAAGAUGUCGUGCCCUAAUUUUAAUUCCUAGAAAAAGGGGAGGGUGCGCAGAAGUUGACAAAAGCUAAAGAAGGGGAUUGUUCUGCGCAACGAUCGAUACCCAUAAAAAUGGCGACCGAUCAUCGAAUCGUCCUCUUGGUUUCUACCACUAGAUUCGUUAUCUUGUCCCGGUACAGUCUCGCGGUAAAAUCCUUUUGUCUUUUGCAUUUAAACCUUUCCUACGAAGUUACUCUGUCCAAAACUCCAGCGAGCUUUCAACUCCAUUUUUGUCAUACUAAUUCAAGAUCUAACAACUAAGUAACCCUGUUGUUUGUGACUUGAAAUAUUGAACUUACAAAAUAGAUCCAAGUUCAUCAAAGUAUCCAAAUAUAUUACAAUCAAUCAUUCCGUUAAAUCCUCUCACUAAUCUACGCUGCAAGUCAUCAUAUCCAGAUUAUUCUCAAAAGGUACAGUACCAAAGUCACACGCUCUUAAUAAUUCUGGUCCAUGGGAACGAAGGACUUGACAGCAACGGAAUCCGCUUACUUACACAACCGUGCAAUUAACGUAUAAAGACUUGGCAAACAAAUAUUUCAUUAGUGCCGGAGGAUAAAAUAUUCAUAAAGCUGAAGCUAGCAGCCAGAAUUAGCAGUCAAACAUGCCAAAUUUCUGUCGAAUAGGACUAUGCAGUACAAAUUCAUAUCCAUAAUUGUAUAAAAGUGCAGUAGUAAAAAGCUUUUUCUAUGACAUUAAUCAAUUUUAUCGAUUUUUGGGCUUUAAUGUCUCAUUUUCAUCAACGUCAGCACGCUUGGCUGCUAGCUUCUGCCUCAUAAAAUAUUCUUGUAUUCGAUAAUAUUUAGUGGUAAUAAUGGAUUCUCAAACGGCUUUAAUAUUCAUCUCCAUAUUAUUUAUGAAAUGGAAAAGAACAGGAUGAAUAUAGGUUAUCAGUUGUAUACAAAUACAAUUAAUUACAUUUAAUUGUGUAGAUAAAAACAGAAAAAUUGAUGGACCGAUAAAGGAUCGCCUCAAUACCCAGUGAAUCUGUGAAUAUUAUUAAUUUAUUCAAUUGUUAAAUAUGUAUUUACGGGAUCAACAGGACGAUUCAUUGUCCGCUACAAAUUGUUAAUAAUACUCGAUAAUACUCAUCAGUACUGUACUUGCUUAGUUUUACACACAGAUUCACAAAUAAGGUAGUCUGUUGGUAUUGGGUAUGUUCCGAUAUUCGCUGUGAGCCUCGCUCGUGCCACCACCUAGCGGUUUCAAAAGCUAAACAGCCGGCGUGUUAAUUUACAUUAGAGACAUACUGAUAAAUAUCGAAAUCAGCAAAAUAUUAUCAAAUAAGUGAUAUUUCCAUUGUAACAGUGAAGUGAAAAGUUGAAAAUAAUAACGAGUUGAAACUCCAGUAGUAUGUAGCAAUAUAAUAUUAAUAAAUACACAAUGAAAACCACUACCUUUUACGAAUAAAGGUUUUUAUUAUUCUA
rnacentral:lncRNA from 1 species